AUAUAUAUAUAUAUAUAUAUAUAUAUAUAUAUAUAUAUAUAAAACUCUCGUGUUUGGUUGCCACGUUGAGUUUGGAACCCUGAACAGACUGCCGGUGAUAAGCCGGAGGAAGGUGAGGAUGA
rnacentral:ncRNA from 1 species